rnacentral:rRNA from 1 species
GGAAUAUUGGACAAUGGGGGCAACCCUGAUCCAGCCAUGCCGCGUGUGUGAAGAAGGCUUUCGGGUUGUAAAGCACUUUCAGUGAGGAAGAAGGCCUUGGGCUUAAUACGUCCGAGGAAAGACAUCACUCACAGCAGAAGCCCCGGCUAACCCCGUGCCAGCAGCCGCGGUAAUACGGAGGGUGCGAGCGUUAAUCGGAAUUACGGGGCGUAAAGCGCGCGUAGGCGGCGUGAUAAGCCGGUUGUGAAAGCCCCGGGCUCAACCUGGGAACGGCAUCCGGAACUGUCAGGCUAGAGUGCAGGAGAGGAAGGUAGAAUUCCCGGUGUAGCGGUGAAAUGCGUAGAGAUCGGGAGGAAUACCAGUGGCGAAGGCGGCCUUCUGGACUGACACUGACGCCGAGGUGCGAAAGCGUGGGUAGCA